UUAAAAUUUGUGAAAAUUAUGCAAGUAUCAUAAGUAGUAACCAUUAAAAGGUCGUGAUUUGAACUCAACCUUUUAAUUUACUACUUGUGAUAAAUGCAUAGAAAUGUCAACAACAACAA
rnacentral:precursor_RNA from 15 species